GCCACAGGGUCAGGACGACAGGUAACCUUUAGGGGUGACUGGGGCCACAGGGUCAGGACGACAGGUAACCUUUAGGGGUGACUGGGGCCACAGGGUCAGGACGAGAGGUAACCUUUAGGGGUGACUGGGGCCACAGGGUCAGGACGACAGGUAACCUUUAGGGGUGACUGGGGCCACAGGGUCAGGACGACAGGUAACCUUUAGGGGUGACUGGGGCCACAGGGUCAGGACGACAGGUAACCUUCAGGGGUGACUGGGACGACAGGGUCAGGACGAGAAGGAAGAGCGGUCCUCUUCAGAGUGUUGGAUGCUGCGGUCGAUGGUCACUGCUUUCUUCAGUUUGCCUAUACUGAAUGACGUGAUGGAGCUGAGGAGGGCACCACGCC